UCUCUGCUCGGAUCCUUGAAGAGCUCUCAAUUUAAACAUGUCAAACAUGCAAAAGGAUUUACUUUUCUCAUUUAAAAGCAGAGAAAGUCUACACAAUGAGUUUGAUACCAAGUGGGGAGUCUGCAACUGAACACCAAGUGAACAAAAAUCUCUAGAACUCCUCCUUAUCAAACACCCAGUCCUUGUGAAUAAUUUAUCUUUCCCAAAGGGUGAGGCAUUAAAUGGAUCCCCUAGGUCCAAAGAAUUUAGGCAAGAAAUUGAAAAUGAGUUUGCUUUAUAUUCCAAACUGCACAGCUUCUUCUGAGAAUCGUUCCUCUGUCCUUGGAGUCAAACCGACGAGCGUGGUUGUCCCUGUGAAUCUCAGAGGUUUGAAGGGAAGGAAAAACACAGGAUGGAACUUUGCGUGCUGGAAAAGGGCCACACUACAAAUGGUUUCCAGCAAAAUGCGGGGCAGAAAGAAUAGGAGAGACCUUCCGAGAGCCUCGCAUAAAGGAAUCGAGCACAGCGCUCGCUGAAGCCAGUACUGAAACUUCUUUCAUUAGCAGUUUGCUCACUAAAGCAGUUCCAUGGCUUUUGAAGAAAUAUAACAGCAAGAAAUGCGGAGCUGUCGAAGAACAUUUUAUUUUUACCAGACUGCAAGCAGGUCCCACCAGGCACUUGUUUACCCUGGGGCUUAAUGGGCAGGAGUGUGAAAAAGGAGCUGUUUAAAAAUAACCACGCACAUUAAGAACGGCACAAAGAUGAAGCAACGCUUCAUACAUCAGCUGUUCUCCAGGAUUUUGUUCGCUGUAGGGGUACUGAGAUGAAAACGGUCAGGGACUAACGCAAACUGGUCACGAAAACUGCUACAAGGAGAGGAGG